rnacentral:lncRNA from 1 species
AAAUUACUUAAUGAAUUUUAUUACAUUUAUAGGUGUACAACAAUCAUCACAACCAAAUUUUACAGCAUUUCCAUCCCAAACCCUCAGUUCAUCCCCCCAUCCCCCAACCUGUCUCAUUCAUUUGGAAACCAUAAGUUUUUCAGUCUGUGAGUCAGUAUCUGUUCUGCAAAGAAGUUCAUUAUGUCCUUUUUUUAGAUUCCACAUGUAAGUGAUAGCAUUUGAUGUUGGUGUCUCAUUGUCUGACUGACUUCACUUAGCAUGAUAAUUUCUAGGUCCGUCCAUGUUGCUGCAAAUGCCGUUAUUUCUUUCCUUUUAAUGGCUGAGUAAUAUUCCAUUGUGUAUAUGUACCACAUCUUCUUAAACCACUCCUCUGUCAAUAGAUAUUUAGGUUGUUUCCAGGUCUUGGCUGGAAGUUCAAUUUUUUAAAAUUAAUUUGAGCAACUGGAGAGAUGAAAAAUAAACAUAAAACUAAUGGAUGUUCCUCCUAACUAUUUAUCUAGCUCUGCCCUCUAGUUGUUGCAAUGCUUGUCACAUUAAAAAAGGGAAACCUGGAAUUCCUGUCAUGGCUCAGCAGUAAUGAACCUGACUAAUAUCUAUUAGGACUUGGGGCUGAUUCCUGGCCUUGCUUGUGAGUUAAGGAUCUGGCAUUGCUGUGAGCUGUGGUGUAGGUCACAGAUGCAGCUCUGAUUCGAUCUCUAGCCAGGAAACAUCCAUAUGCUGCAAGUGCAGCCCUAAAAAGCCAAAAAAAAAGAACCUGCCAUAUGCCAUAGAUGUGGCCCUAAAAAGACAAAAAUCCCCCCCAAAAAAUAGGAAACAUGGGGAGUUCCUGUUGUGGCUCAGCGGUAUUGAAACCGACUAGUAUCUGUGAGGACAUGGGUUUGACACUUGGCCUUGCCCAGUAAGUUAAGGAUCCAGUGUUGCUAAGAACUGUCCUGUAAGUUGCAGAUGGGGCUUGGAUCCUGUGUUGCUGUGGCUGUGGUGNAAAAAAAAAAGGAAACCUGGCUGUUGUUUCCCAAGAGCUCAUGGUGUUUAUUUAAGCCACGGAGGAGCACAGAAGAGUCUUAGCUGAGGAGGCGGCUCUACGGCUCGCAGGCCCCACGAGCCCUGUGGUCUUGGGACAGACCGACUCCUGCGUGAGGACAGCUGUACUGCAUCCAGGGCUGCUGUGAGGAGGGAUGCGCGAGGGAGUGGCUGACAUUUGCGAGGAAGUCAGUGACUUUCUCAGGUGACACACAAAGCCUCUGCCUUCAGAGCAUGGAAAGGAGGUGGCAGUGAAGAGACUGGACAGUAGAUUUUCCCCACUGUGAGUCAGUGGAAAAGAAAGCUGAAUGGACAGAGGAGGGCCCCAGCCAUCGAGAACUGUCUGGACAGUGUCCAACUUCGGGGAUCCUUCAGGAGAGUCAUGGUCUAGCAGGUUAGUCUGGGUGCCUGUGGAGCCUGGCUGGAAGUGGGGUGAUGAUGCUAGAUGAUGGGGAAUGGGGGUGAGUGGCGGGACUUAGGGAUGAGGAAGUGGGGGAGGAGCGGGAGUGAGACAGGGGCCACAGGAGUCGAAAGGAAAUCGGGUUUCCACCUGUUCUUUGCCAACGCUCGCCGCACCUCCACAUUUAUCUCCGCUUUUGCCUUUCUCCUCUUGGCUCUUCUGUCUCCCCACCGCACCCCCACAUCAGCCCUAUGUCCUUCUACCCCCCAGGUCCCUGGGUAAAGGAGGCUCAGCCCUCUUCAGCAUGAUGCAGAUGUGCCUAGCAGGUGCACCCUGGGUGAACUUGAUCUGGCUGGUUCUGGCAGGGUCAUAUGCUUGAGAGGCAGGCUGCUCUUUCUUUAGUGUGUGAGUGAGAAAAGCUACUGCUGGUUAGACCUCACAGGAAGCUGGAGCCAAGGGGUAGCACAUGACCUCAGGUGUAGCACAGCCAGUUGGGUGAGAAGAAGAGGUGACACCUCUGGGCUGCUGAGACCGCUUGCUCCUUGUACUCCAGGCCAAGGAAAUCAGGUCACCCUGCCCCCCUCCCUCUGCUGGAUGCUGAGGGACUGACUGCUGCCUAUGGGGAGGUAAAGAAAUAUUCAAGGACAAGCCGGCCAAGGCAAGACACCUGGGCGAGGGUCUCAAACUGGAGGCCCCUAGGACCGUUCCCCGGCAGAUAGGUUUUCUUGGGCCCACACUGGCCCUCUCACUCCCUGUUAUACCUUUCCCCUGUCUACCUCAUGUGUUUGCCCUCUUGGUGUCACCCCUGAGCUCAUGAAUUCACCAACUCCAUUCUAAGCAGGGCAUGAAAUGCAAAGAUGCUCCAAGGCUUCUGACUUCACUGGGGAAACGCACAGGCCAAGAGGGCUGAGCGUGCCAGACCCAGCGUGGGGUGGGGGGGAGACAUGCCAUUUUGGAGUUUGUUUUUUUGUUGUUGCUGUUUUUGUUUUUGACUUUUUAGGGCCAAACUCAAUGCAUAUGGAGGUUCCCAAGCUAAGGGUCGAAUCAGAGUGCGGUCCUAAAAAAAGGAAAAACAAAACAAACAAAUAAAACCAAUGACAUGCAAAGGUAUCUAAGACAAUGUUAAGUGAAAAGAACAAGUUGUAUAACUGUGCAUCGUAGGAUAUCAUUUGAUCAAAAAAGGAAAAAAACGUAUUUAUUUAUUAAUUUAUGGUUGUACCC